UACGUAGGGGGGCAAGCGUUAUCCGGAUUUGACUGGGUGUAAAGGGAGCGUAGACGGCGAUGCAAGUCUGAAGUGAAAGGGCGGGGGCUCAACCCCCUGGGACUGCUUUUGGAAACUGUAUGGCUGGAGUGCAGGAGAGGUAAGUGGAAUUCCUAGUGUAGCGGUGAAAUGCGUAGAGUAUUAGGAGGAACACCAGUGGCGAAGGCGGCUCACUGGACUGGUAACGUGACGUUGAGGCUCGGAAA
rnacentral:rRNA from 1 species